GUAUAGGUCUUUUUAGAGACCACAAAUAGUCCACUUUGACCUCUUU
rfam:Amborella trichopoda AMTR_V1.0_contig_34001, whole genome shotgun sequence.